GACGAACGCUUGCGACGUGCCUAAGAAAUGCAAGUCGAACGGGGUCAUCUUCGGAUGGCCUAGUGGCGAACGGUCGCGUAACACGUGGGCAACCUGCCCUGAAGCGGGGGACAACACGCCGAAAGGUGUGCUAAUACCGCAUGUGAAUCGGAAUGGCAUCAUUCAGGAUUCAAAGCCUUCGGGCACUUCAGGAUGGGCCCGCGGCCUAUCAGCUUGUUGGUGAGGUAACGGCCCACCAAGGCGACGACGGGUAGCUGGUCUGAGAGGACGAUCAGCC
rnacentral:rRNA from 1 species